CUCGCGUCCUGCCUACUCGUUUUUUUCUCUCGAUCGGCGUUUCAACGAGAUUCGGCGGCGUCGUCAACCAACGAGCCCCAAGCAAGGCAUUAUACGUGUGCUCUCUUUUCUCUCCGCGCGCGAUCUCAUAUCGCGCUAUCCCGCCCGUCGGCCUUUCGGCCCGACUGCAUUUAUACUUCGUACCACUAUUCCGAGUGCUGAAUUAUCUGGCAUCCGGACGUCGACCAUUUAUUUUCCGCUCGACAAAUCGACACAACAGACACGACGACGACGAUUUUAAUUCGAAGAAAAUCGAUAAACGACGAAAUAUUGCCGCAACUCCUAUGCGCGUUGCCGUCAUAUUAGAAUACCUCUGGACGCUACCCAUUAUUACAAGCGAUCAAUUCAGUAGUUUCAAAAAGCCAACGAAUUUAUUCUACGUAACCGGUCAAGCGAUUUAUCAUUUUUCAUGCUGAAUAAGUGUCAUAUCACCGGAAAAACGCCGCACUCAUAUAACUCGUAUGCCUAUAUGAAGGUGAUCGGAUAAAUUUUUAUAUUAUUCGUUUCGCACAUCUUAGUUUGUUCGAGGACUCGUAAGGCUGAAAGGCCGAAUAUUGAAAGUGACCGAAAAUGAAUAAGAUGUCUCGUUACCCCUCGGACUGCAAAGUCUACGUGGGUGAUUUGGGAAGUAAUGCAACAAAACAGGAACUCGAAGAUGCUUUUUCGUACUACGGCUCUCUGAGAAACGUCUGGGUGGCUAGAAAUCCACCUGGUUUUGCUUUCGUUGAAUUUGAGGAUGCCAGGGAUGCGGAAGACGCUAUCAGAGGUCUCGAUGGUCGUACCAUAUGUGGCCGACAAGCACGCGUCGAAUUGUCAAAUGGAAAGCGCCUCAGAGACAGAGGAUCGUCUCGACGCGCAGCCGGACGUCCUUUCCAUCCGGAGGAUCGUUGCUAUGAGUGUGGCGAGCGUGGACACUAUGCCAGAGAUUGUCCAAGGCACAGAAGUGGUCGCAAGCGCAGGAGAUGGGGCUGAACAGACAUAGACACACGUGAAAUGUGUGUUUCUACCAGUCGCUACUGAGAUACUCGCGAGAUUCGUCCUGGGUUCACUUCGCGACACACAGACAUUGCAUAGUUACAGCGUAGAGCACCCACCUACUUCGGGUUUCCCACUGCACUAUGCUGCGAAUGAACGAGAAAAGUGAGAGAGCGAGAAAAGCGAAACGGCACAUCGAAACUACACGCGUCUAGAGUCGUCGUCACUCAUCAACGCACUCGCUCCGAUCUUCUACCGACAGAUACAGUGCGUGUGUCUCCUGUCUCUCUCCCUCUCUUUCUCUCUUUCUCUCUCGUGCCCUCGACAAGUAUUUAAAAAAAAAAAUGAAAUCGACGCAAGUUGUUUCCGAUACGAAAAUUUGAUGAUUUAAAAAUCGGAAGUGACCAUACGACAGGGAGAAUGAGAGAGAAGGAGAGAAUUAGGAUGACACGAGGACGGAGCGACACCUCUCUCUCUCCGAGUCUCCUUCGUUCGGCUCACCUCCUUGGUCUCUCCUCCGUUGUCACAGUGAGAAAGUGAGAGAGCCUGCCAGAUACGGCGUGAAUAUGUGUCAUCUCUGUAGCGAAUCGUCGCACGUUCGAAACUUCGACCGUUCCACGCUCAUCCAAAUAUUGGCGCGCUAUUACAUCCAACUCGCGACGAGUGUGUUCGACCGCUCUCCCCAUUCUGGCAUAGCCAUCUCCUCGUGUACCUACUUGUGCUACAUGCGUGAGCUACGAUAUCCAACCGAUAACAACCAUGGUCCCGUACGAGGUCCAGGUCCCGUUCUCGCUCACGCUCCCGUAGCAAGCGUUCCCGCACUCGCUCUUCCUCACGCAGCCGAUCACGCAGCAGGAGUGGCCCCAACGUCAGAGACAAAUCUCGCAGCAGCAAGGGACGAUCCGACUCAAAGGACCGGAGUCCGCCACGUCGCUCCAAAUCUCGUUCCAUCUCGCGCACCCGUAGCAG
rnacentral:misc_RNA from 1 species